CUUGUGCUGAUGUAUUUGUGUUCAGUCUUUUCAGAGUCACUGUUAAGAAGCACAAUGAGCAUGUCAUGGAUUCUGCUAGUUGGGAUACUGGCGCUCUUUACUGAAGACUCUCAUCAAGAGGUCCAGUCUCCUGAAUCUCUGUCUGCUAAAGCAGAAGAAUCUGUCACUAUUAGUUGUACAGGGACUAAUGGAGUGGGUAAUGACAUGAGCUGGUAUCUGUUUAAACCUGAAGAAGCUCCUAAACUCCUGAUCUAUCGUGGAAGUAACUUGGAGUCUGGAGUUCCAGAUCGCUUCAGUGGAAGUGGAUCUGAGCCUCAUUUUACACUGACCAUAAGAGGAGUUCAGCCAGAGGAUGCAGGAGAUUAUUACUGUAUGGGGUAUUAUAGUAGGUCCAGUAUUCACACAGUGAAAAAACGCUGUACAAAAACCUCCCAUAAUAAGACUGAACACUGAAUGUACUGCUGUCACUUGGGUGCUCACAUGAACCUCCCCAAGUGCCACCCCUAUUAUUUCUUCAUAUUUUUAUAAUAUGCUUCAUUUGUUUUCUUCAUAUUUUUUUAUUUAAUAUGUAUAUGUGCACAAUUAAAAAGAGAAAUCAAUAAAUUCUUCAUCCGAUGUAACCAGUGCUUGAAGUGGGGCGUACGCAGCAGUACGCAGUACCUGCACUUCUCUAUUUUAGCCUACAGAGUUCCUGCAGUUUUUCUUGCGUACCACCACUUCUCAGAGUCUCCUGGUACGAUGUAAUGUCUUUAUUCAAUGUAAGUCAUUGAUUUGAUGCGGCCCGCCAAUCACUUUUAUCUGACCUUCCCAAUGAUUUAGAUAAAAUCGUGGUAAACAUCUGAACGCACUCUGAGCAAAACUCAGCGGUGAGUUUAACAACACUCAACACGUGCAACAGCAUCGGCGCUCGUCAAACUAUCCAUGGUCCAGUUCCGGAGCAACACGCGUGUUUAAGCUUGUCUGGACUUAGUUCAGUUUCACUCUUCUCCAAAACAUGAACCAGCAACUUUUGGGUGAGCACAUUUUAUCGCGUUUUAUUCACUCAAAUGUAUUCAUGCAAAUUGUUUAGCUGCUGGGUGCAGUCAAAACUACAGACAAAAAAAAAAAAAAGCUGUUACAGAAGUGAUGUCAGCUCAUAUGCACAACAUUUUUUACAAGAGGCAAAAUGAUAAUGAAAACUGAACCUUCAAAGAAAAUACAUAAGAAAUUUUGCUUUUUAUUUUCCAUUCUUUUCUGUAGUGCUCGUAAAAAUAUGAUGUGAAUUGUCAUUAAACUUGUCUAUAUAACAUGACAGAGUUUAGUUCUACAUACAGAUGUGUGUCAGCAUUCACAAUCCUGAACAUCAUCAAAUUAGUUUGUUCACCAUUUCUAAUGAUUAUUAUCUGCACAAGUAUCUGGCUCGUGUAUAAAUGAAUGUGUGCAGGAUAAGGAAGGAAUUUUGCCCUCACUGAAUGAAAAAACAGACAUAAUGCUCUUUUUCCAUUUUAGGCUACAUUUAUUUUGUGUAAAAAGACAGUUCUUCAUUAGAUUGUCAUUGUUUUCUUAUGUGUGUUGAUAUUGACAGAGAUACAGACAGGGUUGGGAGGGUUACUUUUGAAAUGUAUUCCACUACAGAUUACAGAAUACAUGCUGUAAAAUGUAAUUUGUAAUGUAUUCUGUUAGAUUACUCAAAGUCAGUAAUGUAUUCUAAAUACUUUGGAUUACUUCUUCAGCACUGGUAGAUUUUUUCACUUGUUUUGACUCUAAAAACUCUGGCAGUACAGUAAGACAAAAUACACAUGUUAAAAAUACAUUCUCAAAAAAAUAACUAAAUAUCUUAUGCAAUGUUGUUUCUAAAACAAGACAAAUCUAAUUGAUCUUGUUUUAAAGAUUUUUUGAUAUUUUUACAGGAAAACAAUACAAAAAUUAUAAUCAAGAAUAUGAUUUUUGCCCUAAUAUCAAAGGUCUUACUAGAAAAAAAUAAAUUAUGAUCCAACUUGAAUUUUCUUGAUAAAAAAAUAUGAUCGUGCCUGGUAACAUGUGCAUGUAAAAUGGCUAGAAAUAGCAUUUUAGCUUAGCGUAAAGCUGGCCAUUUACACAAG